AGUGAACGCUGGCGGUAGGCCUAACACAUGCAAGUCGAACGGCAGCACAGUAAGAGCUUGCUCUUACGGGUGGCGAGUGGCGGACGGGUGAGGAAUACAUCGGAAUCUACUUUUUCGUGGGGGAUAACGUAGGGAAACUUACGCUAAUACCGCAUACGACCUACGGGUGAAAGCAGGGGAUCUUCGGACCUUGCGCGAUUGAAUGAGCCGAUGUCGGAUUAGCUAGUUGGCGGGGUAAAGGCCCACCAAGGCGACGAUCCGUAGCUGGUCUGAGAGGAUGAUCAGCCACACUGGAAGUGAGACACGGUCCAGACUCCUGCGGGAGGAAGCAGUGGGGAAUAUUGGACAAUGGGGGCAAGCCUGAUCCAGCCAUACCGCGUGGGUGAAGAAGGCCUUCGGGUUGUAAAGCCCUUUUGUUGGGAAAGAAAAGCAGCAGGUUAAUACCCCGCUGUUCUGACGGUACCCAAAGAAUAAGCACCGGCUAACUUCGUG
rnacentral:rRNA from 1 species